AGCUCCAAGAGCAUAUAUUAAAGUUGCUGCAGUUAAAAAGCUCGUAGUUGGACUUCUGGUUUAAUGCGCCUGGCCCGCGGCCGUCAGGCAUGUGAGUGCCGGUGCGCGUUUACCAUCCUUCUAGAAAACGAGUCUUCCCUUUACUGGGCCGGACUCGGGAUCUAGAUCAUUUACUUUGAAAAAAUUAGAGUGUUUAAAGCAGGCUAUUGCUAUGAAUACAUUAGCAUGGAAUAAUAAUCUAGGACUUCGGUUCUAUUUUGUUGGUUUCUAUAGCUGAAGUAAUGAUUGAUAGGGAUAGUUGGGGGUGCUAGUAUUGGCCGGUCAGAGGUGAAAUUCUUGGAUUCGGUCAAGACUAACUUAUGCGAAAGCAUUCACCAAGGAUGUCUUCU
rnacentral:rRNA from 1 species